AACGAACGCUGGCGGCAUGCCUAACACAUGCAAGUCGAACGAGACCUUCGGGUCUAGGGGCGCACGGGUGCGUAACGCGUGGGAACCUGCCCUUAGGUUCGGAAUAACUCCCCGAAAGGGGUGCUAAUACCGGAUAAUGUCUUCUGACCAAAGAUUUAUCGCCUUUGGAUGGGCCCGCGUUGGAUUAGCUAGUUGGUAGGGUAAAAGCCUACCAAGGCGACGAUCCAUAGCUGGGCACAGAGGAUGAUCAGCCACACUGGGACUGAGACACGGCCCAGACUCUUACGGGAGGCAGCAGUGGGGAAUAGUGGAAAGUGGGCGAAAGCCUGAUGCAGCAAUGCCGCGUGAGUGAUGAAGGCCUGAGAGUUGUAAAGCUCUUUUACCCGGGAUGAUAAUGACAGUACCGGGAGAAUAAGCCCCGGCUAACUCCGUG
rnacentral:rRNA from 1 species